rnacentral:rRNA from 1 species
GACGAACGCUGGCGGCGUGCUUAACACAUGCAAGUCGAACGGAAAGGCCCUGCUUGCAGGGUACUCGAGUGGCGAACGGGUGAGUAACACGUGGGUGAUCUGCCCUGCACUUCGGGAUAAGCCUGGGAAACUGGGUCUAAUACCGGAUAGGAGCCAUUUUUAGUGUGAUGGUUGGAAAGUUUUUUCGGUGUAGGAUGAGCUCUCGGCCUAUCAGCUUGUUGGUGGGGUAAUGGCCUACCAAGGCGGCGACGGGUAGCCGGCCUGAGAGGGUGGACGGCCACAUUGGGACUGAGAUACGGCCCAGACUCCUACGGGAGGCAGCAGUGGGGAAUAUUGCACAAUGGGAGCAAGCCUGAUGCAGCGACGCCGCGUGGGGGAUGACGGCCUUCGGGUUGUAAACUCCUUUCGCUAGGGACGAAGCUUUUUGUGACGGUACCUAGAUAAGAAGCACCGGCUAACUACGUG